GACAUUUUCAGCCUCCAGUCCAGAUGGUGGCAGUAAUGCACGUCUAAGGACAAGUUAGAAGAAGAAGAGGUGGAGGAGGACUUGGAGCAGGUGUGCAACAGGACUCAGACGUGAAAAGUUUGAAUCAAGCUGCCGAGGUUUCAUCACACUCUACUCAGCUCCACCUCUCCACUGAAUGAGCUGAACAACUUCCUCGCUCGUUUUGAGGCAGACAACAACAAACCUGCACACAAGACUCCACCCCCUCCAGGUGACCAGGUGCUGGCGCUGAGCCUGGACAGUGUGAGGAGAUCCCUCAGCAGGAUCAACGCGCACAAAGCUCCAGGCCCAGACAACACACCUGGUUGUGUACUGAGAGACUGUGCAGCUGAACUCAGAUGUCUUCAAGGACAUCUUCAACAUCUCACUGAGUCGGGCCGUUGUCUCCACCUGCUUCAAAGCCACCAGCAUCAUCCUGGUCCCGCAGAAAUCGUCUCCCUCCUGCUUCAACGACUACCGUCCGGUAGCACUCACUCCCAUUCUGAUGAAGUGCUUUGAGCUGCUAGUCAUGCAUCAAAUCAGUUCCCUGCAUUGCGGGUGAUGCCAACCACCACUUUCUGCACUCUUCAACUCAGGGUAGCAUCAGCCACUUCAUCUAUAUUGUAUGUUGUCAUGCGCUAUGUCAUGUUCUCCUUUGUCUACUUUGUAUAUA